UAAAGGUCUUUGCCUUGUUAAUUUAAUGCCUUGAAAUUUGGCCUUUGACCCUUUAAGAAAGUCCUGCUCUUUCUGAAACUCUGCCUUCAGGAAGUUAUCACAACAUUUCUUCUUUAUUAACCCUUUAAUAAUGUUUUU